AACUUCNUGAUCUGAAAUCAGGUAGGAUUACCCGCUGAACUUAAGCAUAUCAAUAAGCGGAGGAAAAGAAACUAACAAGGAUUCCCCUAGUAACGGCGAGUGAAGCGGGAAAAGCUCAAAUUUUAAAUCGAAUAGGGUACCUUAUUCGAGUUGUAUUUUCAAGAGACGUUUUCGGAUCGCGCCUGGGUAUAAGUCCUUUGGAACAGGGCAUCAUAGAGGGUGAGAAUCCCGUUUAUGACCCGGAGCGGCUGUCUAUGUGAUACGUUUUCAAAGAGUCAGGUUGUUUGGGAAUGCAGCCUAAAAUGGGUGGUAAAUUUCAUCUAAAGCUAAAUAUUGGCGAGAGACCGAUAGCGAACAAGUACCGUGAGGGAAAGAUGAAAAGAACUUUGAAAAGAGAGUUAAACAGUACGUGAAAUUGUUGAAAGGGAAACGUUUGAAAUCAGUCAUGUAAACGAGUAAUCAGCUUGGCUUUUGCCUUGUGCACUUUCUCGUUAGCAGGUCAGCGUCAGUUUUGAUACUAGUCGGAUAAAAAAUUAAGGGAAUGUGGCUCUCUUUUACGAGGGAGUGUUAUAGCCCUGAUUAUAAUACGAUGGUUAAGACUGAGGUCUGCAGCCAAUACCCUUCAUUGGGCUGGAUAUUUCUUUUGCUCAUGGGUAACCGAGCUUAGACAGCUUGCUGACUAGGUUUUGAAUUGCCUGUGACUUCGAUUGAUUUUAUUACAAAUUGGCUUAGGUCGCUGACUUAAUG
rnacentral:rRNA from 1 species